AGAUGCCAAGAAGACACACCACAGUGAUGGUCCCUAUGAUUCUGAUGUCGUUGGACUCAUCUACCAUCAGUGUAUCACUCUCCUGAAAGUGGUUAGAAAUGUUAUGAGAACCAGUCUUUCUCUGCCCAGCUGAUGGGAUCAAGUAGCAAGCGCUACUUUCUCCAUUGGCCACUCUCUCCACAGAGCCGGUGCUCACAGCAAUGUUCUGGAGGAUCACACAGAAAACAAAUACAUCUCUGGGCCAGGCAGAGGAAGACAUGAUAGAAAAGAAUUCCAAAGAUCCUAUUUUACAGUCACUGGAGUAGAGAGCAAUAUUCUGCUUACACCAGGCAUCAGCAGAAUGGCUUAGUCUUCAUCUCUCCUGGGGCUGAAGAUGAUGAGCUCAUCAAAUCUCCAUAACAAGUGUGGAGAAUAGCCAAGAGGAAGAAAGGGUGCAGAGCAGAGAACAAACUGCAGCUAGCAAAGGAAAUAUGCCUUUUAAAGUUGCAAGAAAGUGUUUCAUCUUCAGGCAUGAAGGAGCAAAGACAAAUCCUCUGUCACUGAGGAUCUCCCAUGACCAGUUCAUCAGUAACAGUCCAGAUCAUACACUGUGCACAACUGCUGGAGCACAAGGAGGAGAACCAGCUGUGGAGAGUGCUGGAGUGUACAGAGCUCUGGACCCCAUCCCUCCUUGAGGGCUGGGUAAAAAUGGGCACAGUAAACAGGAGAUGUGCCCCUGCUCCUCGGGGGCUGACCCUGACGUGUGUCCUAGAGAAGCAGGAUGCUCAAGCAACUCCACCCCAUUGCUGCCAGGAGAGCUCUGCAUGUUUCCAGAAAGGAGAAACUUCCUGUAUUUGUCUUUUUAAGGUGAUUUUACCUAUAGAUUUUAGUUGGGGGUGAGGAUAAUUUGCUUUAUUUCACAUUUUCCAUCAGAUAUUGCAAUCACAUCUUUCUUUUGUAUCUCUAGACAGUGGGAGAAUUGGAAGGCUGGGACAUCAAAAGUGCCAAAGGACAAAGACAUUUUUAUUGUAAGGUUAGAACUGGAGGCUUUCUGGCUCUUGCUAACACCUAUUUAACGAAUGUGCCUCAGGGAAGACUCUUUUUAUUAACAAUUCAACCUCUUUUUCCCCAGGGAAUUGCCAGUAUUCAUUUAUUUCUUGGCAGAGUAAUUAGGCCACUCAGAGCUCUGUGCUGCCAUGGCUACACUGCUUCAGGUGCCUGCACUGCUCAGCCAGGUUAAAGGGAGUUCCAAUGUCUGUGCUCUGUACUGCAGCCAUGGCUGAGAGGAGCCAUACUCUGAGUCAGCCUACAGGUGAAAACAGCAGAAAAAGUAAAAAUAACUUUAGGUAUUCCUGAGCAGACAGAAAUGGACAGAACUUUUAUCUUGUUUGAUGUCUCCUUUCUCACUUCAAAAUUUGUGGGUUUUUUGACUGUUAUCCUAAAGAACAAAAAUUUUAGAACAAAGAGCAAAAGGGCAAAACACAAGUAUGUCUUUUUUUUUUCCAAUAAAGCUCAGUAUAGUAGAUAUUAAAUGUUUCCUGUUAAUCUUUACAAAUUUACCAGAGCAUAACAACCAAUGUCCUGUUUAUUCUGUAGACCUUUGUAUGAGAUCUUUCCUUGUUUUGAAUUAUAUUCUGCUCUUUGAGUCAUGCUGUUUCAAUUCCUGUUAAGCUGGAAGAAAGAUCCAGAUACAGCCUAUAGGAAUUAGAAAUAAUGUCAACAACCAUUAUUUUCUGAAAAUACAUCAUAGGUAAAGCCCACCUGCUAUAUGAAUUUUCAUUUGGCAUACUUCCAAUUUUUCUAAUUAAUUUGACCUUCUGCAGGAAAAAAAAAAUUACAGAAAGUUCAAUACCACAAAUUUAUGUUAGAAGUCAGUUGAUUUGAACAAAAGCCAGUCAAGGAAAAAAAAUACUUUCCAGAAGUUCUAGAGUAAUGGGUUAUAAAAAUUAAAAAGUCUUAUACAGGAAAA